rnacentral:rRNA from 1 species
GGGAUAACAGGCUUAUCUCCCCCAAGAGUCCACAUCGACGGGGAGGUUUGGCACCUCGAUGUCGGCUCAUCACAUCCUGGGGCUGUAGUAGGUCCCAAGGGUUGGGCUGUUCGCCCAUUAAAGUGGUACGCGAGCUGGGUUCAGAACGUCGUGAGACAGUUCGGUCCCUAUCCGUCGCAGGCGUAGGAAAUUUGAGAAGACCUGUCCUUAGUACGAGAGGACCGGGAUGGACGUACCUCUGGUGUACCAGUUGUUCUGCCAAGGGCAUGGCUGGGUAGCUAUGUACGGAAUGGAUAAGCGCUGAAAGCAUCUAAGCGCGAAGCCAACUUCAAGAUAAGAUUUCCCACCGCAAGGGUAAGACCCCAGAAAGACUAUCUGGUUGAUAGGUCGAAGGUGUAAGUGCAGCAAUGUAUUUAGCUUAUCGAUACUAAUAGGUCGAGGACUUGACCAAU